rnacentral:rRNA from 1 species
AGUGAACGCUGGCGGUAGGCCUAACACAUGCAAGUCGAACGGCAGCACAGUAAGAGCUUGCCCUUACGGGUGGCGAGUGGCGGACGGGUGAGGAAUACAUCGGAAUCUACUUUUUCGUGGGGGACAACGUAGGGAAACUUACGCUAAUACCGCAUACGACCUACGGGUGAAAGCAGGGGAUCUUCGGACCUUGCGCGAUUGAAUGAGCCGAUGCCGGAUUAGCUAGUUGGCGGGGUAAAGGCCCACCAAGGCGACGCUCCGUAGCUGGUCUGAGAGGAUGAUCGGCCACACUGGAACUGAGACACGGUCCAGACUCCUACGGGAGGCAGCAGUGGGGAAUAUUGGACAAUGGGCGCAAGCCUGAUCCAGCCAUGCCGCGUGAGUGAUGAAGGCCUUCGGGUUGUAAAGCCCUUUUGUUGGGAAAGAAAAGCAGCAGGUUAAUACCCCGCUGUUCUGACGGUACCCAAAGAAUAAGCACCGGCUAACUUCGUG